rnacentral:rRNA from 1 species
UACCUGCAACAAAAGAUGACCAAAACUCAAGCGCAGAGGCAACGACUUACCUUGAACAGGGAGCAGUUCAUGAUGGUUGUUCCUCGUUGGUGCUAUGGAAGGCAUGAUGGAUGGGCGAGUUUGGUGGAUAGGUGGCUCGACGACGAUGCAGAGUUUGCUGCCAAGAGCAUCAAGGCCCGGGCUAACCGUGGAAAAGACGGCACACACGACCAAGGAAACAGGAACCACUGGGGCUUCAAGUUGCAGGAGGACAAGUUGAAGAGGCCGCUCUCAGACAUUGAGUCGUGGAAGCUGGCCCGUGAGCGGAGUCAUCCCAAG